ACAUGCAAGUCGAGCGGUAGCACAGAGAGCUUGCUCUCGGGUGACGAGCGGCGGACGGGUGAGUAAUGUCUGGGAAACUGCCUGAUGGAGGGGGAUAACUACUGGAAACGGUAGCUAAUACCGCAUAACGUCGCAAGACCAAAGUGGGGGACCUUCGGGCCUCAUGCCAUCAGAUGUGCCCAGAUGGGAUUAGCUGGUAGGUGGGGUAACGGCUCACCUAGGCGACGAUCCCUAGCUGGUCUGAGAGGAUGACCAGCCACACUGGAACUGAGACACGGUCCAGACUCCUACGGGAGGCAGCAGUGGGGAAUAUUGCACAAUGGGCGCAAGCCUGAUGCAGCCAUGCCGCGUGUGUGAAGAAGGCCUUCGGGUUGUAAAGCACUUUCAGCGGGGAGGAAGGCGGUGAGGUUAAUAACCUCAUCGAUUGACGUUACCCGCAGAAGAAGCACCGGCUAACUCCGUGCCAGCAGCCGCGGUAAUACGGAGGGUGCAAGCGUUAAUCGGAAUUACUGGGCGUAAAGCGCACGCAGGCGGUCUGUCAAGUCGGAUGUGAAAUCCCCGGGCUCAACCUGGGAACUGCAUUCGAAACUGGCAGGCUAGAGUCUUGUAGAGGGGGGGUAGAAUUCCAGGUGUAGCGGUGAAAUGCGUAGAGAUCUGGAGGAAUACCGGUGGCGAAGGCGGCCCCCUGGACAAAGACUGACGCUCAGGUGCGAAAGCGUGGGGAGCAAACAGGAUUAGAUACCCUGGUAGUCCACGCUGUAAACGAUGUCGAUUUGGAGGUUGUGCCCUUGAGGCGUGGCUUCCGGAGCUAACGCGUUAAAUCGACCGCCUGGGGAGUACGGCCGCAAGGUUAAAACUCAAAUGAAUUGACGGGGGCCCGCACAAGCGGUGGAGCAUGUGGUUUAAUUCGAUGCAACGCGAAGAACCUUACCUGGUCUUGACAUCCACAGAACUUUCCAGAGAUGGAUUGGUGCCUUCGGGAACUGUGAGACAGGUGCUGCAUGGCUGUCGUCAGCUCGUGUUGUGAAAUGUUGGGUUAAGUCCCGCAACGAGCGCAACCCUUAUCCUUUGUUGCCAGCGGUUAGGCCGGGAACUCAAAGGAGACUGCCAGUGAUAAACUGGAGGAAGGUGGGGAUGACGUCAAGUCAUCAUGGCCCUUACGACCAGGGCUACACACGUGCUACAAUGGCAUAUACAAAGAGAAGCGACCUCGCGAGAGCAAGCGGACCUCAUAAAGUAUGUCGUAGUCCGGAUUGGAGUCUGCAACUCGACUCCAUGAAGUCGGAAUCGCUAGUAAUCGUAGAUCAGAAUGCUACGGUGAAUACGUUCCCGGGCCUUGUACACACCGCCCGUCACACCAUGGGAGUGGGUUGCAAAAGAAGUAGGUAGCUUAACCUUCGGGAGGGCGCUUAC
rnacentral:rRNA from 1 species